AGGUAAGCUACUAAGAGCGAAUGGUGGAUGCCUUGACUGGUAAAGGCGAUGAAGGACGUACUAGACUGCGAUAAGCUACGGGGAGCUGUCAAGAAGCUUUGAUCCGUAGAUUUCCGAAUGGGGCAACCCAAUGUAUAGAGAUAUACAUUACCUAUAUAGGAGCGAACGAGGGGAAUUGAAACAUCUUAGUACCCUCAGGAAAAGAAAUCAAUAGAGAUUGCGUCAGUAGCGGCGAGCGAAAGCGCAAGAGGGCAAACCCAGUGCUUGCACUGGGGGUUGUAGGACUGCAAUGUGCAAGAGGUAAGUUUAGCAGAACAUUCUGGAAAGUAUAGCCAUAGAGGGUGAUAGUCCCGUAUGCGAAAAACAAACCUUAGCUAGCAGUAUCCUGAGUAGGGCGGGACACGAGGAAUCCUGUCUGAAUCCGGGUCGACCACGAUCCAACCCUAAAUACUAAUACCAGAUCGAUAGUGCACAAGUACCGUGAGGGAAAGGUGAAAAGAACUGAGGUGAUCAGAGUGAAAUAGAACCUGAAACCAUUUGCUUACAAUCAUUCAGAGCCCUAUGUAGCAAUACAGGGUGAUGGACUGCCUUUUGCAUAAUGAGCCUGCGAGUUGUGGUGUCUGGCAAGGUUAAGCAAACGCGAAGCCGUAGCGAAAGCGAGUCUGAAUAGGGCGCUUAGUCAGAUGCUGCAGACCCGAAACGAAGUGAUCUAUCCAUGAGCAAGUUGAAGCUAGUGUAAGAACUAGUGGAGGACUGAACCCAUAGGCGUUGAAAAGCCCCGGGAUGACUUGUGGAUAGGGGUGAAAGGCCAAUCAAACUUCGUGAUAGCUGGUUCUCUCCGAAAUAUAUUUAGGUAUAGCGUUGUGUCGUAAUAUAAGGGGGUAGAGCACUGAAUGGGCUAGGGCAUACACCAAUGUACCAAACCCUAUCAAACUCCGAAUACCUUAUAUGUAAUCACAGCAGUCAGGCGGCGAGUGAUAAAAUCCGUCGUCAAGAGGGAAACAACCCAGACUACCAGCUAAGGUCCCUAAGUCUUACUUAAGUGGAAAACGAUGUGAAGUUACUUAAACAACCAGGAGGUUGGCUUAGAAGCAGCCAUCCUUUAAAGAAAGCGUAAUAGCUCACUGGUCUAGUGAUUUUGCGCGGAAAAUAUAACGGGGCUAAAGUAAGUACCGAAGCUGUAGACUUAGUUUACUAAGUGGUAGGAGAGCGUUCUAUUUGCGUCGAAGGUAUACCGGUAAGGAGUGCUGGAGCGAAUAGAAGUGAGCAUGCAGGCAUGAGUAGCGAUAAUUAAUGUGAGAAUCAUUAACGCCGUAAACCCAAGGUUUCCUACGCGAUGCUCGUCAUCGUAGGGUUAGUCGGGUCCUAAGUCGAGUCCGAAAGGGGUAGACGAUGGCAAAUUGGUUAAUAUUCCAAUACCAACAUUAGUGUGCGAUGGAAGGACGCUUAGGGCUAAGGGGGCUAGCGGAUGGAAGUGCUAGUCUAAGGUCGUAGGAGGUUAUACAGGCAAAUCCGUAUAACAAUACUCCGAGAACUGAAAGGCUUUUUGAAGUCUUCGGAUGGAUAGAAGAACCCCUGAUGCCGUCGAGCCAAGAAAAGUUUCUAAG
rnacentral:rRNA from 1 species